rnacentral:rRNA from 1 species
AGUUGUAAUUUGUAGAGGGUGCUUCGGGCGCGGCGCCGGUCUAAGUCCCUUGGAACAGGGCGUCCUAGAGGGUGAGAAUCCCGUCUGCGGCCGGCCGCCUACCCCGUGUGAAGCCCCUUCGACGAGUCGAGUUGUUUGGGAAUGCAGCUCUAAAUGGGUGGUAAAUUUCAUCUAAAGCUAAAUACCGGCCAGAGACCGAUAGCGCACAAGUAGAGUGAUCGAAAGAUGAAAAGCACUUUGGAAAGAGAGUCAAACAGUACGUGAAAUUGUUGAAAGGGAAGCGCUUGCGACCAGACUUGCCCGCGGAGGAUCAACCUCCCUUCGGGGGGGUGCACUCCUUCGCGGUCAGGCCAGCAUCGGUUCGGGCGGUCGGAUAAAGGCCCUGGGAACGUGGCUCCUUUCGGGGAGUGUUAUAGCCCGGGGUGCAAUGCGGCCAGUCCGGACCGAGGACCGCGCUUCGGCUAGGAUGCUGGCGUAAUGGUCGUCAGCGACCCGUCUUGAAACACGGACCAAGGAGUCUAACAUCUAUGCGAGUGUUUGGGUGUCAAGCCCAGGCGCGGAAUGAAAAGUGAACGGAGGUGGGAACCCCUUUCGCGGGGGGCGCACCAUCGACCGAUCCUGAUGUCUUCGGAUGGAUUUGAGUAGGAGCAUGGCUGUUGGGACCCGAAAGAUGGUGAACUAUGCCUGAAUAGGGUGAAGCCAGAGGAAACUCUGGUGGAGGCUCGCAGCGGUUCUGACGUGCAAAUCGAUCGUCAAAUUUGGGUAUAGGGGCGAAAGACUAAUCGAACCA